rnacentral:rRNA from 1 species
AGAGUUUGAUCCUGGCUCAGGACGAACGCUGGCGGCGUGCCUAAUACAUGCAAGUAGAACGCACAGUUUAUACCGUAGCUUGCUACACCAUAGACUGUGAGUUGCGAACGGGUGAGUAACGCGUAGGUAACCUGCCUGGUAGCGGGGGAUAACUAUUGGAAACGAUAGCUAAUACCGCAUAAUAUUGAUUAUUGCAUGAUAAUUAAUUGAAAGGUGCAAUUGCACCACUACCAGAUGGACCUGCGUUGUAUUAGCUAGUAGGUGAGGUAACGGCUCACCUAGGCGACGAUACAUAGCCGACCUGAGAGGGUGAUCGGCCACACUGGGACUGAGACACGGCCCAGACUCCUACGGGAGGCAGCAGUAGGAAAUCUUCGGCAAUGGACGAAAGUCUGACCGAGCAACGCCGCGUGAGUGAAGAAGGUUUUCGGAUCGUAAAGCUCUGUUGUAAGAGAAGAACGGGUGUGAGAGUGGAAAGUUCACACUGUGACGGUAUCUUACCAGAAAGGGACGGCUAACUACGUGCCAGCAGCCGCGGU